UACGUAGGGUGCGAGCGUUAAUCGGAAUUACUGGGCGUAAAGCGUGCGCAGGCGGUUUUGUAAGCCAGAUGUGAAAUCCCCGGGCUUAACCUGGGAAUGGCAUUUGGGACUGCAAGGCUGGAGUGCGGCAGAGGAGACUGGAAUUCCUGGUGUAGCAGUGAAAUGCGUAGAUAUCAGGAGGAAUACCGAUGGCGAAGGCAGGUCUCUGGGCUGACACUGACGCUCAUGCACGAAAGCGUGGGGAGCAAACAGGG
rnacentral:rRNA from 1 species